CUGUUUCUAGCAAGGCCAUGGUGUGUUUCUGUCCCGGAUGACCAGCCCACGUCGUGUCAUAGCCCUCCUUGAUCAACAAGUGCCUAAGAUUUUUCCAUCUAGGCACAUACACUCGCCUUCCGGUGGUGUAUAACAGUCCGUCCUCUUCCCAAAACUUUUGGGUCUUGCCUUUGCGUGCCAAAUCAAGAAGUUGUUUGGCAACGGGAUCAUGUUCCAUCCCUUCCUUGAUGGUAUCCAGCACACCACAGCUGGUCGUGCUUAACAGUGCCGACAAAACAACCUUGCGGCUUAAUGCAUCGGCCACAACGUUUGCCUUUCCCGGUUUGNN
rnacentral:lncRNA from 1 species